UGGGGAAUAUUGCGCAAUGGGGGAAACCCUGACGCAGCAACGCCGCGUGAAGGAAGAAGGUCUUCGGAUUGUAAACUUUUGUCUUUAGGGAAGAUAAUGACGGUACCUAAGGAGGAAGCUCCGGCUAACUACGUGCCAGCAGCCGCGGUAAUACGUAGGGAGUGAGCGUUGUCCGGAAUUACUGGGUGUAAAGGGUGCGUAGGCGGGUAUGCAAGUCAUAUGUGAAAUGCCGGGGCUCAACUCCGGAACUGCAUAAGAAACUGUAUAUCUUGAGUGCAGGAGAGGUAAGUGGAAUUCCUAGUGUAGCGGUGAAAUGCGUAGAUAUUAGGAGGAACACCAGUGGCGAAGGCGACUUACUGGACUGUUACUGACGCUGAGGCACGAAAGCGUGGGGAGCGAACAGGAUUAGAUACCCUGGUAGU
rnacentral:rRNA from 1 species